rnacentral:tRNA from 1 species
GCUGGCGUAGCUCAACUGGUAGAGCAGCGGCUUUGUAAGCCGCCGGUUGCGGGUUCAAGUCCCACCGCCAGCU